AGCGAACGCUGGCGGCAGGCCUAACACAUGCAAGUCGAACGAAGUCUUCGGACUUAGUGGCGGACGGGUGAGUAACACGUGGGAACGUGCCUUUAGGUUCGGAAUAACUCAGGGAAACUUGUGCUAAUACCGAAUGUGCCCUUCGGGGGAAAGAUUUAUCGCCUUUAGAGCGGCCCGCGUCUGAUUAGCUAGUUGGUGAGGUAAAGGCUCACCAAGGCUACGAUCAGUAGCUGGUCUGAGAGGAUGACCAGCCACAUUGGGACUGAGACACGGCCCAAACUCCUACGGGAGGCAGCAGUGGGGAAUCUUGCGCAAUGGGCGAAAGCCUGACGCAGCCAUGCCGCGUGGAUGAUGAAGGUCUUAGAAUUGUAAAAUCCUUUCACCGGUGAAGAUAAUGACUGUAGCCGGAGAAGAAGCCCCGGCUAACUUCGUGCCAGCCGCCGCAGUAACAC
rnacentral:rRNA from 1 species